ensembl:lncRNA
UGGCCAGAGAGGCAAGUCCUGGCCUGGCCUCCUUUCCAAAGAGAGCUUUAUUAAUUGGCCCCAGUUACCAAUAAAUAAUGGAUUCAAAGAAGCCCCCAUUCAAUUCCUAUUUGUGAGGAAUCCUAGAGCAACCUUGACAGCGUGAUUCUCCAUAAGGUGAUCUUGGGUUGGAGCCCUGGGGAGCCGCACCUGCCUGGCAAGAACGAGGUCCUGAGUUUGAUUCCUGGUACUGGGAGAAAAAAAACCCCAACUAAGUAAAUCAAUGGACUUAAUCUCUUCAACAACUUGAUUAAAUUUUUAGCGUUGCACAGAUAAAUCCAGCGAGAGCUGGUCAGAGAAGGGAUCGAACUCGGGUCCUUACGCUUGUGCAGCAGGCAGCGAAACCACUGAGCUAAAUCCCCGGCCCCUUCAGCAUAUAAACUUGAAGGGCUGACACCACCACCACGACUAAAUUAACCAUAGACAAGAAACUGACUCUAUCAAAGUUGCUUUCUUCUGUGUUUCCAUCACGAGCCUCAAAUGCUCCUAAGUAGUUCGUAUAUGAACAUUUUGGCUUACUCUGGACUUGCUGUUGAUGGAUUCCAAGAUGUCUUCCGGUUUCAUCUCCAACAUAUCUGUACCAGUAAUAUAGUUCUUCCAGUCUUUUUGUUCUUGUGCCUGUUCUCCCAUAUUCUCCAGGAUUCAUUCAAAGAAAAUUACCUUCUCAGAAACAGUGCUGAAUGUAUUGUCAAAGCAGAACAUGUAAUUUCAGUUUUUACAGUGUGAACUCCAUCUGAUUUUUUUUUGUUCAAAAACUAAAGUUUUGCCUUCUGGAGAGCCAAGAUGGAAACCAGUAUCUGAUCCUGCUCCAUCUAAACCCUGGUACUCAUCUCCAGCGAGGGCUUCAGCAGGUAGAAACGCUCCUUCUGGCGGCCAGAAGGGUAAGGUAAGGUAAGGUCACUGUGUAAGGGAGACGCGAAGCUGGCCCCCCCAGUAGCCGCACUGGGGGCAAAGCAACCAGGGGAGCAAGGGGAAGGGCAGCAGCAGAAGAGGAAAAGAAACAGUGGAAAGACCUAGAAAGCAGAUACUUGGAGGUCCAAAAGAGGAGGAGAGAGAACGGGGAGAGGGAGAGGUGAUAUUUGUGUAGAUAACGAUGGGAAUUGAUGAAAAGACAACAAUCCAUAUUCAAGAAGACCAAUGAAUACCUAGCAAGAUAGACAAGGAGACACCCACACUUAGAUACAACAUAAUGACAUUGAAAAAUACUGAAAAUAAAGAAAAAUCUUUUAAGAAAAGAUAAAUCGCAGAAAUAUAGUUUCAAAGGAGCACCUGUUGGACUGAUGGCUGAUAUCUCAAGAGCAAAAACAGAAUCCAGAAAAUCGUGGAAUCAGCUUUCUCAUGCGAAGAAAGAAACUGCUAAUAUACAAUUCUUGUUGAGUGAGAAAAAUCAACAUAAAUUUACAAAGCUGGGGAGAAAAGAGGCAAAACAGCAACAAAGAUUUGAAAGUUAAAAAGCAGAUGGACAAGUAGAGACUGAUUUCACAGGCCUAAAUCAAGUAGAAUCUUAAGUUAGCAGUGCAGGAUUGGAUACCAUCACACUCUAUACUACAAAAUCUCCAAAAGAUUCAUAAAUUGCUUUAACAAAUGCUUCUGCAACUGGGGGCGGCUGAGUGUUAGCCAAAAUAGAGGACUGGCUACAAGCUGUCAAGGGAAUAAUCAAAUCGCUGGAUGCUUCUGUCCUCCACUCAACUCACCAGAGUUCUUUUGCCUUUCCCCAUCCCGAAGACUUCUUAUUCUCAGGAAAUGACGCAGGAGCGGGUCUCUGAAAUCCGGGAGGCCACAGGCAGGGAUAUCAAAUUGGUUCAUGCAAAGUGAAUCCUGAACAACCCUCCCCCCUCCUUCUCCACUCAGCUCCCAGCACCAGCAAGACCUUACUCAUCCCAAGAGGAGGCUAGGCACUGGCCCUGGGUGUGGUCUAGCCCAGGGACUCGAACCUUGUAGAGCUUCCAAUGAUACAAAGGGCCCACUGCAGCAUGCAUGCCAUAGGCUCACUACCACCGGGCUAGACUGAGAACAGGGGCUCCCCCACCAAAAGGCUCCCUGCCCAUCCUACAGUACAGCUCAAAGUCAGAGUCCCAUCAACUCCCAGUACCCAUUUUUUUGGUCCCCACUCUUAAACUUAAGGACUGUUACACAUUUUUUAAAAAAGAAAAUCAGAAUUAAGAGGCCAGAACAAACGGGGUGGGACAACUUGGAGCAAACAAACUAUGCAGCCAAACAAAACCCAGUUAACAAAAAAUUAUAAUAAAUGUCUGUAAAAUGGUAUUGCAUCCAUGAAGCAAGACUGGGAUGUGUGCUGAUUCUACCGCUCUUAGCCCUUUCCCACUCUUCCAAGUUCUCUGUAACAGCAGGGUUAGAAGCUGGCCAGUGAUAUUCCCAGACUUCUUUGCGGAAGCUUCUGUUUAAAUUCAGGGAGAUGCUAGUAGGGCCUAGAAGGUGGGUACAUCAAAUUAAAAGUUUUUAGACAGCAAGGGAACUAAUUAACAGAGUAAACAGCCCACAGAAUAGGAGAAAAUCUUUACCAGCUGUUGUUUUGACAGAGCAUUAACAUCUACAAUAUAAAUGGAACUCAAAGCCAGGCAUGGUGAUGCACACCUGUGAUCCCAGCAAUCGGGAAGGCUGAGGCAGGAGGAUCACAAGUUCAACCCCAGCCUGGACAAUUUAGUGACUUAGCAAGACCGUCUCAAAAUAAAAAAUACAAAGGGCUGAGGAUGAAGCUGUGAUGGUCCUGAGUUCAAUCCCCAGUACUACCGAAACCAACAACCCCCACCCCCAACAACACCAAAACCCCAAAUAGCCCAAUUAUAAGUAGGCAAAUGAAUAGAACAGAUGCUUCUCAAAAGCAGCACAGAUAGGGUGUUGGUGAUGCACACCUGCAAUCUCAGGACUCCAAGGCUGAGGCAGGAUUACCAUUGAGUUCAAGGCCAGCCUGACCCGAGCAAGACCCUGUCUCAAAAAAAAAAAAAAAAAGUACAAAUGGCCAGUAAGUAUAUGAAAAAUUGUUCAACAUCUUUAGUUAGAUAAAUGCAAAUCAAAACUACAUUAAGAUUCCAUUUCAACCUAGCCAGAAUAGCUAUCAUCAAGAAUAGAAACAAUAAAUACUGGGAAGGGAAAAGGUGAGGAAUAAAUACUGUAGAGAAAAAGGAACCCUUCUACACAGCCGGUGGGAAUGUAAAUUAGUACAGCCACUGCUGGCCAUCAGGAUGGAGGUUCCUCAAAAAACUCUAAGGGGAGCCACCAUUUGACCCAGCUAUGCCACUCCUUGGUAUAUACCUGAGGAAAUUAAAACCAGUGUUACAAUAGGGUACCUGCAUGUCUGAGUUCACUGUGGCACAAUUCAAAGUAGCCAAAAUAUGGAACCAGCCUAGGUGCCUACCAAAUGAAUGGACAAAGAUGUGGUAUAUAUACACAAUGGAGUAUUACUCAGUCACAAGGAAGAGGGAAAUUCUGUCAUUUGUUAAGAAAAUAGAUGGCUCUAAAGAUCAUCAUGUUGGGUGAAAUAAGCCAGACUCAGGCAGAUACUGCAUGUUCUCCCUAGUAUGUGGAAUCUAAAAAAGAUGACAAGAAAGUGAAGGUGGUCUAUUGUUAGAAAGGGAAUGAGGGGGAUGUAAGGGUGGGUAAAAGGGGGCAUGGCUAUGAACACAAUAUAUUAUGCUGACACCCCCCAAAGGUGAAACUGGGGGAAAGGUAGGGGCGAUGAAAGUGACGAAAGUACGUUAUGUUCAUGUACGAAUCUGCCAAAAUGAAAUCCAUUCAUCUGUAUGAUCAAAAAAGGGAGAGGAAGAAAGAAAACUAGAGCAAGACUAUAAUCUUUCAAUUAAUGACACUGAGAAUAUGAAAGAUAUUUAUGGACAGAUAAGCUUUGUUCAAACAUCUGCACGAAAUAUGAUGUGCUGUCAAACAGGAAGUUUUCUCAAAAGAUUAAAAUGUAUUUAUUAAGCAAUAAAAGUCAUCACUUCCCUUUGGCCUGCUGGUCUUGACUAACAUUAGUGGACUGCACUCACUGCUCAUUUUCACCACACACAUCUCUCAAGUGGCUGGGGGUGGCAUUUCCUAUCUCUCUGGAAAGCUCUUAAAUUGCUUUCAGUGACAACAGAAGUCUAGGUUCUUAUCUGCUGCUCAUCUCUACUCCAUCAGAACCAAACUACCUCCUUCAAUUCUCUUUAAAAUUGUGGCUGUUUAUAAACCGUACAAAAGAACUUAACGUUCAGUCUUUAAAAAAAUUUUUGGCAAUGCUGGGGAUAGGAUUCAAAGGACUUAAUGUUAAGGUACAAACAUGCAAUAUAAUCUCUGUAUACUAUAAUAGUAACUUCAAUUUUUUCAAAGAAUUACUUUUAUUAUCUCUCCAAAAAGAAGCUAUACAAAUGUCUGUAAAAACAGUGAAAAAACACUUUAAAAUCCUGGGCUGAUAUAACACAUCUGUGAUUUACAGCUAAGCAUAAAAUGUUAAAUUGUGAGUCAGAAUUUCUGAAUGAUUUUGAUAUUUUGAUAGGAAUUUACUAGGAGAAACCCGAAAGAUUUGAAGAUUUUUCUAUUUCAGGCAUGGGGUGCAGUUCCAUGGUAAAGCACAUUUAGCAUGCACAAGGCCCUCUGUUUGAUCCCUGACACCAAAAAAGAAAAAGAAAAAGAAAAAAGAUUUUCUAUUUUAACCUCAAUUCUGUUUUGAAAAACUACACAGGCAGCAGUGAUGAGAUUAAUCUGGAAGGAAGAAAUUUGGAUGCUAGGAGUGCCUAGCCAGCCAUUCCAUGCAGCUAAUUGAAAUGCUCUCUUGUUUUUUCCCUUAUAUUUUAAAUAAAAGUACAAAUUUACAUAUAAUAAAAAAAUGUACAUAGUACAGGAAGAUGUAAAACAAUAAGUAAAUAUCCUUCUUCCAUAACAAAGCAGAGUUGACGUCUUCAAAAUCCUUGAGCAGUCAUAUGAGUGGUUCACAAACUGAAGGUGACUGCAGAAUCUUCGGGUUGGCAAACACUUCUCAGGCCUUUGGAGCCGUGCUGGCUCCUUUACACAGCACCUCUGCUACAGAGAGAAGCUACGCGGUCUUCUCCUUCACACAGAAAAUGUCAAAGGCAACACGCACACACUGCUCAGAGACAGCAAGGUAGCAAGGUCCAGGGAGCACGGCAGGUGUCACUGGGUUUAGUGGUGGCUCUGGGGUCCCAGGUAUCAUCCCUGAAAUUUAGGAAUCACAUUUACUAACAAGGCAUUUUCAAAAGUUAGGAAAGCUUCUCCUUAAUAAAAAAAAAUGAAGAGGGUCAGGGAUUUAGCUCAGUGGUUCAGCCGCCUGCCUCGCAAGUGCAAGGUCCCAAGUUCGAUCUCC